GUCCCCUCCCCUAGGCCACAGCCAAGGUCACAAUCAACAUUCAUUGUUGUCGGUGGGUUGUGAGGACCGAGGCCAGACCCACCGGGGGAUGAAUGUCACUGUGGCUGGGCCAGACACGGCUUAAGGGGAAUGGGGAC
ensembl:miRNA